GAUGAACGCUGGCGGCGUGCCUAAUACAUGCAAGUCGAGCGAACGGACGAGAAGCUUGCUUCUCUGAUGUUAGCGGCGGACGGGUGAGUAACACGUGGAUAACCUACCUAUAAGACUGGGAUAACUUCGGGAAACCGUAGCUAAUACCGGAUAAUAUUUUGAACCGCAUGGUUCAAAAGUGAAAGACGGUCUUGCUGUCACUUAUAGAUGGAUCCGCGCUGCAUUAGCUAGUUGGUAAGGUAACGGCUUACCAAGGCAACGAUGCAUAGCCGACCUGAGAGGGUGAUCGGCCACACUGGAACUGAGACACGGUCCAGGCUCCGACGGGAGGCAGCAGUAGGGAAUCUUCCGCAAUGGGCGAAAGCCUGACGGAGCAACGCCGCGUGAGUGAUGAAGGUCUUCGGAUCGUAAAACUCUGUUAUUAGGGAAGAACAUAUGUGUAAGUAACUGUGCACAUCUUGACGGUACCUAAUCAGAAAGCCACGGCUAACUACGUG
rnacentral:rRNA from 1 species